rnacentral:rRNA from 1 species
CUACGGGGCGCAGCAGUGGGGAAUAUUGCACAAUGGACGAAAGUCUGAUGCAGCAACGCCGAGUGGAGGAUGACACAUUUCGGUGCGUAAACUCCUUUUAUAUAGGAAGAUAAUGACGGUACUAUAUGAAUAAGCACCGGCUAACUCCGUGCCAGCAGCCGCGGGAAUACGGAGGGUGCAAGCGUUACUCGGAAUUACUGGGCGUAAAGAGCGUGUAGGCGGGUUUGUAAGUUGGAUGUGAAAUCCUAUGGCUCAACCAUAGAACUGCAUCCAAAACUGCUUACCUAGAAUAUGGGAGAGGUAUAUGGAAUUUCUGGUGUAGGGGUAAAAUCCGUAGAGAUCAGAAGGAAUACCGAUUGCGAAGGCGAUCUACUGGAACAUUAUUGACGCUGAGACGCGAAAGCGUGGGGAGCAAACAGGAUUAGAUACCCUGGUAGUC